AAUUCCUAACGAGAACUCUGUUAUUUGACAGUACACUUAACAACAUCACUAAAAUGUUCCAAAUAAGAUUAAUUGUGUUAAUUUUCUCCUUGGUCUGUGUUUUCCAUGAGGGAACGGCAUUUUCAAAAUCUGACUGCGAGUUGCCGGUACAAGUACCUGGACCACAUGGAGAAGUAUGCAGGGCCGACAUUCCAGUUUUUACUUGGAGUAUUUCCGAAAAAAAAUGUGUACAGGAUUAUUAUGGAGGAUGUCGUGCAACCAACAACAUGUUCUAUGCGGAGGAUGACUGUGAAAAUGUUGCCAAACCCAUUUGUCUGCAGUAACCAUAAGAACAAACAUCGAAUGUAUUUACUGUAGAAUACCACCAGAAAUUGUGAAUAAAAUUCGUUUACAAAAAUA